rnacentral:rRNA from 1 species
AUGUAUUCUCUUGAGAAACAUGACACCUUAAAAACUAUACACGGGACACUGUAUAUUGAACUCAACAACAGAAGUUUGGGUUCUAUUAAGUUGAAUAUCAUCAACCUAACUUGGAAACAUAAAAUUGUUACUGCCAGAGUUCGUACUUCCAUAUAUGUUGUGCCUCCUUUCGUCUUCUCUACAAUUGGGUACUCGAGAUUGAAGCUGAUUCUACCUCCAACCUUUACUGGGACAAAAAAGACCAUUUCACUGUCGAGAAUUACAACAGCGCUCAGUUUCAUCAACUAUUCAUUUCUCAUAUUCAUUACUCUAGUAAUGGUUACUUUGCUCCUAAACUGGCAGUACUCCCACUGUACAUGUUUUGGAUGUUUUUUGGCUUUCAAAAUCGAUUGCUGCUUGUGGUGUUACCAAAUUUCCAAAAAAGCACCAGCUGCAAUCAAGAAUAGUACAUUACCUAUCCACUUUUUAAAAAGGACAUUACAUAUCCACUUAAUCCACAAGACACUCCUACAGAAAUCAAGUCAUUUUUUCCUCUACUAA